rnacentral:rRNA from 1 species
AGAGUUUGAUCAUGGCUCAGAACGUACGCUGGCGGCACGCUUAACACAUGCAAGUCGAACGAAGUAGCAAUACUUAGUGGCAGACGGGUGAGUAACAUGUGGGUAUCUGCCCUUUGGCCUGGAAUAACACGAGGAAACUUGUGCUAAUACCGGAUAAGUCUUUACGGAGAAAGCUUUAUGCACCAUUGGAUGAGCCCGCACUUGAUUAGUUUGUUGGUGGGGUAAUGGCCUACCAAGACUGUGAUCAAUAGCUGAUUUGAGAGGAUGAUCAGCCACAUUGGGACUGAGACACGGCCCAAACUCCUACGGGAGGCAGCAGUGGGGAAUCUUGCACAAUGGAGGAAACUCUGAUGCAGCGAUGCCGCGUGAGUGAAGAAGGCCCUUGGGUUGUAAAGCUCUUUCGUCGGGGAAGAAAAUGACUGUACCCGAAUAAGAAGGUCCGGCUAACUUCGUGCCAGCAGCCGCGGUAAUACGAAGGGACCUAGCGUAGUUCGGAAUUACUGGGCUUAAAGAGUUCGUAGGUGGUUGAAAAAGUUAGUGGUGAAAUCCCANAGCUUAACUCUGGAACUGCCAUUAAAACUUUUCAGCU